GGAUAGGUCCACUUAUACCUCACCGGCGAACCGGAUGAGUCCACUUGCAUACUUAAAGUAUUUCUAAAUCUCUUUAAACAUUCGAAAGCAGCAAUAUCAUGUACUCAACAUAUUACUGAAAUCAUUAAUAUGAAUUUCACUGAAACCAUUAAUAACAGUCACUUUCAAUAACAUUUCAAAAAUAACCAAUCAAAUAUUUU
rnacentral:lncRNA from 1 species